CUAAAACGUCCGUAGCCGGUCUGAUACAUUCGUGGGUAAAUCAACCAGCUCAACUGGUUGAAUUCUGCGAGGACGGCCAGACUUGGGACCGGGAGAGGUGUGGGGUACUCUCAGGGUAGGGGUAAAAUCCUGUCAUCCUGAGAGGACCACCUGUUGCGAAGGCGCCACACUAGAACGGAUCCGACGGUCAGGGACGAAGCCUAGGGGCACGAACCGGAUUAGAUACCCGGGUAGUCCUAGGUGUAAACGCUGUGGACUUGAUGUUGGGGGUGCUCCGAGCGCUCUCAGUGUCGAAGCGAAGGUGAUAAGUCCACUGCCUGGGAAGUACGGUCGCAAGGCUGAAACUUAAAGGAAUUG
rnacentral:rRNA from 1 species